CGACUGCGGACUGUGGCCAGCGAGGGAACCACAGCCGCAGAGAGACACCGCUAGCAUCGGUCCCAGCCUGGGGCAGAUGCGAGGCUAAAUGCAGCCCUUUCUUGUGAUUCCCACACAGCAGUCUACCUAAUACACCCAGGUCCCAGAUGAGGACACUGAGGCUCAGAGGCUAAGUAAGCAGGAAGAGCCAACCUUUCCCUUCGCGGAUGAUUUGGGGCACUCACUGACACAGCGGGCAGGCCAGGCGGCCGUCCACAGCCCGACCACGAAGGCAGCCGGCACAGAAGUCGUGGAAGCAUUCCAGCAGGCACGGACGCUCGUACUGCGCGUGGCACAGAGGGCACACGAGCGGGUGGCCGCUCGCGGUGUCCAGGUCGCCUAGGCCCUCUAGGGGCGUGAAGAUAGCUCCCGACAUCUGCAAGGACAGCGCAAGUCCGCAGCUGCGGCCCUCACGGUUGCGGGGCCGGUCCCUGGAGGUCCCUCCAUCCUCCUACCGCGGACCCUACCAGACGUCCAGUGGUUUUGGAACGGGGAGCUGCUAGGGCCCGGGAGGGUCUUGAGUGCCCAGCGCGGGGAGAACCAACAGGGAGGGCUGGCAAGGAGUCCAGCUACGCGCCGGCAGCCCCUGCUGCCCAGCGCUUGGAGCGCUGCUCGCAGCUGUGGCCUUCCCUAGGAGUCGCUGACCCUGGAAGGACAGGCAGCCGGACUGGGUUUUGCUUCCUCUGCACUCUCCCCUGUCGCCUCUCUUCACUUCUCCCUCUUCCCUCACUCCCACCCCUGGAAUUCCACACUCGUUGUCCUUCUGGUGACCUGCUGGCGACGCCCCUUCGGCGCAGCGCACUGAGCGUCGCUCCGCCGCAGUGCUCCGGCCCACCUCCAUCAGGGUGGUGCUGCCUCCGGCGCAGCAGGAGCCUAAACCUCACCGGCGGGUCCGCAGCUCUGCCCCGGGGCCACUCCGCCUGGAGGAGAGGGGAGGACGCAUAGGCUGGAAAGGACUGUGACCGGCCAGGGUCCGAGGUUCUACUAGACCCGGCGUGAAAUGACAGAACUCAGUGCGGCAGGAGUGCGGCGCAGAGCCAGCGAGAGGACACCUUGGCGGGGUCUUCAGGGGUGCAGGGGCCCCCUGCCUAGGUGCCAGUAGAGUGGGUUCUUGCAGGUCCAUUUCCUUGAUCGCCAAGUGGGGGCGCCAGAGAGCAGCAAACAUUUCUCCACAGGCUUUCCAGUGCUUGGGAGGCGGAGCAAGAGGCUUUGGAAUCCCAGCCCCACCUUGGUCAAGUUAGCGACCUUUUAGAACUGCACAAAUGAGGGGCUGGUCCCGUUAGCUCUGCGUGGGGAGGCACGUCUGUAAUCCCAGAGAUUGGGAAGGCUGAGGCAGGAGGAUCCUAAAUUCCAGGCCAGCCUCAGCAAUUUAGACCCUCAGUAAUUUAGGAAGAACUAGUCUCAAAACAAAAAGGGUUGGGUUUGUAGCUCAGUGGUAAAGCUCCCUUGGAUUUAAUCCCUAGUACCCCCCCCAAAAAAAAGGCUGGCCCCCACCGAGCUUCCGAAUGAUUAAGGCCUUAUCCCCGUUGUUGUCAGCCAAGUUCCCAGAAGAAGGCUGGGUUUAUUUGGGUGGGAGGUGGGGAAGGGAACUGCCUGUCUUUUCAGCAGAGCGCCCUCUGUUCCGAUGGCAUGGCCAAUGCUUGUUCGCCCCAUUACCUCCUUUCCUCAUUCUCAGUUAUCUUGUGUUAUCCCUGAAAGCUGCCCCUGUUUCUGCACCUCUUGCAACCAGCCUGACCACAGAAGGUGCUCAAUAAAAGUUUAAUAAAUAGUUAGAGGGAAAAAAUAUGAGCUAAUAUUCCAGCCGGGUUUUGAAGGAUGCGUUUGCCAGCAGAUGAAAGUAAAUGCUAGGUUGAAACCACCUGUUCUUUUAAGGUCCUUCCCUAACCCAGGCUGGAUUUACGCUUGCAGUCAUAACAAUAGUAACAAUGGCUAAUGUUUGCUGGCCAAGGUAUUUUCAGUGGUAUUAACUGAUUUAAUCCUGAUAACUUUAAAGAGUAGAAAAUGUUAACUCUAGUAGGUGGUGGAGCUGAUAUACAAACUAGGUAUGUGCUUUGUAAAUAAAUGACACAUCAGUUUCCCAGUA